CACCCCUCCAUCCAUCUCCAAACCUUCUUUUCGAGAUAGAUUGCGUUCAACCUCUACUUCGUACUUCUCGACCCCGGCACUCACUUGUGACCGUGGUCGCCAACCCAGCCUCAACCUCCACAUUGGGGAAGCAAAGCCCAAGUUGCAAUCGGUUGAGGUGUAACAUCUCGCCAACACUGCUGCUUGACGCCCAGUUGAAUCCUACCAACCCUCAUUGGGUGAAGGAUACUCAAAUCCUGAUCAUCGGCACCGUCUGCUGUCCAAGGGCAUUUAACACUGCCAGUGAAAGCUUGUCAUCUUGCCCGUGUCAAAAGGGAUCAGUUGCUGCCGUCACAUACCAUUUGACGAUCAGGACUGCCACACCCAAGUCGCAGAGGCAUCUUUGCAUUUGCUUCCUUCUCGGCAUCUCCGACAGGACUCGAACGGCUUCAGAUCCAUCACGUGUUGCCUAGCUUGCAGCCUUGGGAUUCAAGAAGCCCACACCGACCAUUACAAGCCCAGGGUGCCAAACGACACUCCAACCGAUUGACCAUCGACGCGGCGUCUGAACUGUCUUGAGGCCAUACCUGCCAUCCCUCCUUCAUCCUGCUUAAUUCAAAUUCUUCCGAGUACACUCCAAACGUCCAACUUGCAGGGACGUAACGGCAGCUCAAUACUAGUGAGCAGCAACUACCCUGUUACGCAGGGAAAAUCACAAGUGUCAAACACCAGGUGGCAAGAUCAAGGUUCAUCUAA